CUAUGGGGUGCAGCAGGCGAGAAAACUUUGCAAUGUGCGAAAGCACGACAAGGUUAAUCCGAGUGGUUUCUGCUAAAGAGAUCUUUUGUCAGUCCUAAAAACACUGAUGAAUAAGGGGUGGGCAAGUUCUGGUGUCAGCCGCCGCGGUAAAACCAGCACCUCGAGUGGUCAGGAGGAUUAUUGGGCCUAAAGCAUCCGUAGCCGGCUCUAUAAGUUUUCGGUUAAAUCUACAUGCUCAACAUGUAGGCUGCCGGAAAUACUGUACAGCUAGGGAGUGGGAGAGGUAGACGGUACUCCGUAGGAAGGGGUAAAAUCCUUUGAUCUAUGGAUGACCACCUGUGGCGAAGGCGGUCUACUAGAACACGUCCGACGGUGAGGGAUGAAAGCUGGGGGAGCAAACCGGAUUAGAUACCCGGGUAGUCCCAGCUGUAAACCAUGCAAACUCAGUGAUGCACUGGCUUGUGGCCAGUGCAGUGCUGCAGGGAAGCCGUUAAGUUUGCCGCCUGGGAAGUACGUACGCAAGUAUGAAACUUAAAGGAAUUGGCGGGGGAGCACCACAAGGGGUGAAGCCUGCGGUUCAAUUGGAGUCAACGCCAGAAAUCUUACCCGGAGAGACAGUAGAAUGAAGGUCAAGCUGAAGACUUUACCAGACAAGCUGAGAAGAGGUGCAUGGGCAA
rnacentral:rRNA from 1 species